UAGCUAGUGCUAAAAGGCCAAAGAAGUUGGUAACCUGAUAAGAAGUCUCGAUUAACAAUGGCCGUAACUACAACGAUCCUAAGGUAGCGAAAUUUCCUUCUCGGGUAAGUUUCGACCAAAACGAAA
rnacentral:ncRNA from 1 species